rnacentral:rRNA from 1 species
UACGUAGGGUCCGAGCGUUGUCCGGAAUUAUUGGGCGUAAAGGGCUCGUAGGCGGUUUGUCGCGUCGGGAGUGAAAACACGGGGCUUAACCCCGUGCCUGCUUCCGAUACGGGCAGACUAGAGGUAUGCAGGGGAGAACGGAAUUCCUGGUGUAGCGGUGAAAUGCGCAGAUAUCAGGAGGAACACCGGUGGCGAAGGCGGUUCUCUGGGCCGUAACUGACGCUGAGGAGCGAAAGCAUGGGGAGCGAACAGG